UAAAAAAACAAACUCUAGUUUCCAUAUUCAACUUUGACUGUCUGUCUUAUAUGAAUUUUUUUUAUAAUUUGUAUUUUUAUUGUUGUUAGAUGAUAAAGCAUGAUUAAUAUUUUAUACGUGACUUGUCUUUUUAAUUUUUUUCAUAUUUUUUUAAAUAGGACGGACGGUCAAACGUUGGACACGGAAACCAGGUCUGUCUUUUUU
rfam:Oryza sativa Japonica Group DNA, chromosome 6, cultivar: Nipponbare, complete sequence.